rnacentral:rRNA from 1 species
UGGGGAAUUUUCCGCAAUGGGCGAAAGCCUGACGGAGCAAUGCCGCGUGGAGGUGGAAGGCCUACGGGUCGUCAACUUCUUUUCUCGGAGAAGAAACAAUGACGGUAUCUGAGGAAUAAGCAUCGGCUAACCCUGCGCCAG